GCCCACUUUGGGCCAACCCAGCUCGAGGAGUCUUGACAUUUCUGGAUGUCUUCUAACCAUGUAAUGCUGAUAGAAAUGUUGUUUAAAUAACCCAUUUAAUAAUGGGUUAUUUAAACACAGUGCGUCAAAUAAGCAGCCUUGUGAUGCCCAACAGCUGGGGGAGACGAGCGCUCUGGGGAAGGAAGAGGUCAGCACGAGUUAUGCACGGAGCUUAAACUCUGACGAGGGACACGUUGGAUCUGCAGAACAGAGUGCUGGGAGUGCAGUGCUAAAAUGUUAGAUGUUUAAGAUGUUUAGAAAGCUGCAGUGGGCUGUGUACUCUCAUGAGUAAGUGCUUAGCAAAGAGGUUUAAACUGACUACAAGGCACGGCUGAGUUACAUUAGUGUGUUGUAAAGUCUACCAUCAUAUUUGAAUGUAGCUUUAUGUUGCCUUUACAUUGAUUUGAAGCCACCUUCAGACCUGCUGUAGGAACCAGGUGUGUGGUUAGGGCACCAAUGUCGUUGUAUCAAUGCUUUUCCACUUCUACAGAAUUGCUCCAAAGAAAGAUAUCUUAAAGCAAUGAGAAUAUUGACCCCUUUCUUGACUCUCAUCACAAUCCGUAUGGUGGCUGCAACUGGAGACCCUCUGUCUGCUUUGUACAUUUGGAAAAUGGAUUUACAAGUUGUUACUGCAAUUUCACAGUUUGCUUUUCAUGUUCUGAUUGCAGUCUUUUUUUUCCCCCCUCUUUUCCUGUGUGCAUUGAUUGCUUUGUGUUCUUUGAUGUCCUCUUCACAUUGCAGUUUCUGACCUGGAAAGCCAAAAUGCAUCUCUGCUUCUCUGACACCCAGAGAAUAUACGUGUGUGUGUGUGUAUAUAUGUGUGUGUAUAUAUACAUGUCAGAAAAGAAUGCUGUUUUCUAGAAAGGUCUCAAAGAUUUCAAAGAUGUCUGUUGAUGGUGAACUUGAUCCAGGAAAAUAGCAAAUAACAUGGAUUAUAUAUCAUAAAAUCAGUUCCUGAUCAGUAAUGACAGAUUUGGCUGGGAUUAACCACUACUGUUUUUUCUUUCUUUCUUGUUGAUGCAUUCGUGGAAUAGAUUGGCAAAGAAACAUCAAAUACCAUUGGAAACAGUUUCAGCCUAUGGGGAGAAUGUGAGCUGAUCAGUCACUAAUGAACAAACGUCAGCUGUUCAUAGAGACCUGCACAUUUCCUAGCGAACUUGAAGCCAGAGAAGCCUGUGCCUGGCUGCGGGCCGCCGGCUUUCCUCAGUAUGCCCAGCUGUUUGAAGACAUGCAGUUUCCUAUUGACGUAAGGACUGUGAGAAAGGACCAUGAAUUUUUAGAUGGAGAUGCGAUGGAAUCGCUGUUCAGGCGGCUGAACACGUUGAAUAAGUGUGCAUUGAUGGAAGUGGAAAUAAACCAUCAGAGGAAACAGAGCGAUGACUCUGAUGAUGAACCUUGUGCAAUAAGUCAUAAAUGGGUGUAUGAGCGGUGCAGCCAGAAGUGGUUUCGCCUUGAGAGCCUAGAAGGUUCCACAGAAGGUGCCAGUGUAUCCCUCCCAGGCAGCCCAGAUCUGAAGAGCACUGGCAAUGAAGACAGAGUCCUUUUGGACCGUGGUGACAAACACGAUGUGUCCUCCAUUCACAGCACUAGCAGCGGUGACAGUGAUGCUGUUAGCUCCCCAAAGUCUUUUGAAGACAUGGAAACCAGCCUGAGUUCCUCCAGUAGAGUUGCUUCACUGGAACCUGCCUUUAGUUGUUCACCUCCCCCCAGCAAAUGUUUAAGUACCACCAGUGAGAAGAAGCUUUGGGAUAAGUCACCGUACAAAAAGAGGAAGAGCCUUCUAAAGAAAAUGGAGAAGUUGCACUUAAGGAGCAGCAGCUUAAGGAGCGGUCAGUCAAAGGCCAAACCCAUCAUAAGUGAACCUUUCCUUCUGGAAGGACUUAAUGAGGAGAAGAUGAAGAUGCUUAACUGCGUAAAUAUCGCCGACCUCCCUGGCAUCCAAACAAAGAACAGUUCUUCCUGUUCUCCUCCUAGCUGCAAUAGCAACAGUAAGUUUGACAACAGCAGAACGGUGAGCACUGCCCGUCCUCUUAAAAAACCAGAAAGCUGCUGUGAAAGACAGGGGAGGUGUGCGGAGCACUUGGAGUCUGGCAAGCUGCUGAUGUGGAGCGAUGCGUCUCAGGGAAACCUAAACAAUGAAGUACGGUUACAAAUGAACCAGAUGUUUCAAGUACCACAGGGCCACAAACCUGGCACUUUCCCCAAAGCCCUGGUGAACAGCCCUGCGUCUCCAGGAGACUCUCCUGUCAGCUGGAGGACUGGCUGCAGAAGGAGCCAGAGCAGAAGCAGGUCCAAGGACUCCAAAGCGCCCAGCAGCCCCAUCUCAGGCACUGAUAACAGGCUGAGUGUGUAUGACAACAUGCCUAACGUUGAACUUGACCAGCUGGAGGCAGCAGAAGUUGGAGAUGACGAUGUUUUUUCGGAACUGAACAAUGUCAUAGAAGACGUCAAGGGUCUCAGGAGGCUGGUUGAUCAGUGGACUGAGAAGCUCUCAGACGAUGGGUUUUUGGACUUUGCCAGUGACUUAACGGCUCUGUGUCCGUCCUCACCUAAAGAAAUCUGCCUUGACACAGAGCACUCGGAAGUAAAGAAAGCAGCUGUGCUGUCCUCUGAGGGAGAGCAGAGCUGUGAGCCGGGCAAGGAGCUCAGUGCUACAGAGCUGGCGUUCGUAACAGACCCUACAAAGACCAACAGGCACAGGAAGCAGCACGGGUCUGUGGAAGACAGCAGGAACGUGGAGGGCUUUUCCAUGCAGGCGGACAGUCCGUCAGCUGCCCAGCUGGCCCGGGCACAAAAGCUGGCAUUGCUGAAACUCACUGCUGUCAUGGACAGAUACUCCCCUUCCAGUAAGCAGGGCUGGAACUGGACUAUACCAAAGUUAAAAAAAAUAAAAGCCUCUGACUACAAGGACAAAAAUGUCUUUGGGGUCCCCUUGCUGCUGAACGUUCAGCGAACAAACCACCCGCUGCCUAUCGGCAUCCUGCAGGCGCUGGACUAUUUAAGAAGCCACUUUCUCGACCAGGUUGGCCUGUUCCGCAAAUCUGGUGUUAGAUCCAGGAUCCUGUCCUUAAGGGAAAUGAAUGAAAGCAGCCCGAACAGUGUGUGCUACGAAGGGCAGUCAGCCUUUGAUGUGGCAGAUAUGGUGAAGCAGUAUUUCCGAGACCUGCCUGAGCCCAUAUUUACCAGCAGGCUCUGUGAGUCCUUCCUCCACAUCUACCAAUAUGUACCAAAGGACCAGCAGCUGCAGGCUGUCCAGGCUGCCAUUCUCCUUCUGCCAAAGGAGAACCGAGAAGCUUUGAAAAUUCUCCUGUUCUUCCUACAAGAUGUGGUUGCAUGUGUUGAGGAAAACCAAAUGACCCCAACCAACAUUGCUGUCUGUCUGGCCCCAUCGCUGUUCCACCUCAACACCCUCAGACGGGACAGUUCCUCCUCUUCCAUUCGAUCGAGCCAGAGGAAGUGCAGCCUGGGGAAACCAGACCAGAGGGAGCUGAGUGAGAACCUGGCAGCCACGCAGGGCUUGGCCCACAUGAUAACGGAGUGCAACAGGCUCUUCCAGACUGACUUGCCAGCUUGACCUCGGCCCUUCCUUGUCAUUAUGGACUUUGCUGGCACCCACUGGACUGGGGCUCACCCUGGCUGCUGUCACCAAUCCUGAGCCUGCCCUGUUUGCUGCUGCCCCACCUCCCCAGCUCAAUCAGCACUCCUCUCCAUGGAUGUGCCUGAUGAUCUGCACUUGGGGCUGAGGGUCCCUGUCUUCCGCUCCUGUCUGCCACACUCUCAGCUCCAGCACUGCUGCCUGCCCCAGGCACUGCAGUGUGACCCCAGAGCUACCCUUGGGCCAGCAGCUGUCCUGCACCUUCCUGCUGUGACUGGUGCACUGUGAAGGGCUGUGAUGAUAUCCUCUGCCCUUCUGAGGAGGGGCCUUGCACUGGGACUUGGGGACAGUGGAGCCAGGGCUGUCCCCCUUCCUGCUGGUGACCCUGAGGAGUGGCCCCGUGGAGCUCUACCUGGAUAUAGACCUGCUUCUCUAGACCCACGCCUUCAUCACUGGACCACACCUGACCUUGGCUGCUGUCUCUGGACUGGACCCUGCCUGGCUUGGCCUUGUCACCAAAGAACCGCUGGUGCUGGAAUUUGUGCUCAGCCGCCAAGCACUGCUCAGGUUUCUCAGAGAGUGCAAUGUUUGACCUCUUCUCCAGCUACAAGUGUGCAGCCCUAUCAUUCACUAACACCUUCCAUGCAACGAGCACCAACCCUGAGCUGGGGUUGAGGGGUGCCAGAGACUGGUAGAUAAGGUAAGGAGUACAGCGUUGGGGAUGGGCCCAUGUGGAUUCAGUUCCUGUGACCAGAAAUGCUCUGAGCUGUGCCCAGAGCACCAGUUCUCUGCCUCUGGACCUGAGUGCUUCUGCACUCAUGCUUCAGUUCCCUUCCCUUUCCCCCUCGGGGUGCUGCUCCCCUCGAGCACCUUCCCUUGCUGGAACCCCCUGCCAUCACACACAGCCAGUCAGUCAGUCCUUUUAUUGUCACCCCACCGUUACAUCCUCUCCACAGGCUUAAUUCCCAGGAUGUCAAAACCCUUGGCCAUGAUGGUGGCAGUGGCCUCGCACAGCAGCAGUCUCCAUGUGUUCACCUUCACGAUCUGGCCUGCAAAACAACAAAAGACCAACAUCAGAGCUGGAGCCACUGCUCAGAUCAACCACCCCUGCCUUCCCUCUUGGGGACCAAUCUGCCACCAACCUGGCCCUGGGCACAGUGUGCCCCCUCCCUCCCUCCGCACCCAGGCAGGCUGAUCAUCCAUUGUGUCCAGGUGCCUGGCUGCUCACAGCUUAAGCUUGCUGCUGUGGCAACCCCUUCAGCCCUUCCUCCCCCCCCACAGAAUAGCACUUGUUCUGCAGCUGCCAGUAGAGCAGCAACAGCCUUCUCCACCCAGGAAAGGACCCUGCAGUUCACCUGCACAGCAGUACACAAUGACAUGUGCAGCACCCCCAGUCCAGCACUCACCACUCUGCCUGUCCUUCUCCACACAAUAGCAAUUGUCAUAGAACUCAGUGAAGGUGGUGGCCAGCUCAUAAAGGUAGUCACAGAGUGUGUGCAGUAACAGAUCAUCCAGGAUCUUCUGCAGAAUCUCAGGGAACCUCAGGAUACACUUGCCCAGUUUCCACUCCUUCUCAUGGUCAAGGACAAUCACCUCCUCCCUCGCUGCCUUCCGCAGCAUCUCCUCAUCAAUAUUGGCCAGACGAGCAAUAGCCCUGCAAUGACACACCAAGACAAUGCCCGGUCUGCUUCUCUGCAACAACUUCCACCACAGCAAAGCAGUGCCCUGCUUCAGGUACCACAGGCCCCCAUCUCCAAUGACAGUGCAUGUUGGAGCUGGCUUUUCUUGUCCACUACCCCCUAACUGCACUCAUUCAACACAGCCACUCCUUCCCCCCCACCUCCCUUUGCACUGAAGACUCAGAGAUAAUUACACACUUCAACACACUCAGCUCACCUGAUCCGUGUGAAGGCAUACAGCAAAUACGCAGCUGUAUUUCCUCGGUCAUCCAGCAUCUUGUCAAAGGAGAAUACGUAGUCAUUUAGUCUGUUGUGGGAGAGGUCUGCAUAUUUAAUGCAUCCAAAAGCAACUGACAUCUGGGCCGCUUUCAGCUCUUCUGGCGUGAGGACCUAGUAGUAUUUCAAAACAGGUAAUGAUCAAGUGGAGGAAAGCUAUGUUGGCAUCACAACCACCACCACCUUGCAGGGCUGGAGAGGGUUCUGCCAGCUCAGGGGGUUUCACCCCAUGGCAGCAGAUUCCAAGCUGCCUUUCCACCUGGGGGUCAACACCCCAUCCGUGCACCCAGGCCUGCAUGCACAUGGAGUAUCCUCUGCUCCUGCAUGCCUGCCCACCACAUAACAUCUAACCAUCUACCACCAUGCAGGUGGAUGUCCGCACUGCACUCCCACUUCUCUCAACCUGUCCAUGCACACAGUACACACUGAGCUCUGAAAUGCUCUUACAGAGCAUUUUGGAUCAGCCACACAGUGAAAGAACACCCCUUUGGUACAACUGUAAGCUGUCAGCAUGGCCAAGUGGUUUGUACCUAUGCUGUAUGAGCCCUGGGUAGAGCUUCAUGGUGCUUUACUCCUAUGCUUCAUGGUGUUUCUGUUAAAAAAAGGAACGUUUUUCAGCACAGCAUGAAGGAAUGGUGAUUCCACUGACUCACAUAGUGCUGGGACCAUUUGGUCCUUCUGUUCAAUUCUGUGGCCCACCCAGCCCAGUUCUCUUCAGGCCAUCAGAAUCCAAGGCAGACAAAAUCUUUUUAAGCAAAAGCUUCCAGCAAACGCUGUUGAAGGGAAUGGGUUGAAGCUUGACACCAGAGUCCACUGCAGCUCUCCAACAAUCUCUAACAAUCCAGAAGUCACUAGACUAGCACACCAAGCUUGCUGCUCUCAUCAUCUACCACCACCUGCUGCACCCAGGGGGAGUCACAUGUGCCAUCCCUGCAGGCUAGCUGGUACCAGCUGCAGGGCCAGUUCUUCUGCCAGGCCCAGCUUCCCUCCCAGCUCCACUUAAAGGGGCCAGCAUGCUGUCUGCAGUUCACACCUCACCUUGUCCCGUUCCUUGUCUUUCAGCUUGUCCAUGGCCCGUUUCAGCCCUUCUUCCAGAAGAUCCAUGAGACGCACUGUGUCCCCUGAUCGAGUUUUGAACUUCUUCCUGAAAACAGAUACAGCCAAAAUGACCACCUACACAUGAGGCAAAACACUGCCAGGAAUUUGCACUGCUAACACCUCUGGCCAAUUGAAAAAGCACUCUGUACUGAAGAACCGAGCACCAGACAGCCAAACCUAAUGAAAGGUGUAGGACUAUGACAACAGACAUGGGGUAGCUGGGAGUGAGGGAGGGGGAAAAACAGAGAGGGAAGGCUCCAACCCUCAGAACUGUCCCAGUUCCAGACAUCAGGCAGGAUACAAUACCAGUGCAAGGCUCAAAUCCAGCAUCUUUACUUUUCUAACAAGCCCACAGCAUAACCAGAAGCUCAGUCUACAACAUUACAUGACUGGAGUACACACUUGAGCGUUAACUUACUUAAGUACAACUUAACUGAGACACGAGACCAACUCUGGAGCACAACAGCAUGGCCUGCACACCACAACACUCACUCAUGUUCUUUUCCCAACUUUUAUUCCAUCUUCUUCAGGCAGAAAUUAAGGAUAUCAUGGUCUGUACCACUGCCAUCUCCAGGAUUUGCGUUACCUUACUCUGCACCAGCCAAGUCACAGCCCCCUCCCCAAAAACCAGGCAGCAGAAGCCAGACCUUACUUCAACACCGCUAUCUGUGUGCAUCAAAGGGCCCUGACGUGCCGUAUCACGUACAUACAUACUUGUCAAUGAAUGAGCAAAGGUCUUCUGCACAUAAUCACAGCACAUUCAGAGGAAAAACUACAUCUACAGACUUACUUGUCUUCUCCCAGCACCACUCCAAAUGCAGCGUGGGUGAUUCUGGUUACUUUGGGGUCAUACCAGCCGAUCAUCUGUCCAGCUGCAAACACUGUUUGCAAAUGCACCGACUGCAAGGAAGAAAUAUCAACAACCAGUUCUCAACCCGCUCUUCUGGGUAUGGCUUUCUUGUCACUUUCGUUGUCUUUACAGAGUGCUGCUUUGACAAUGAGACUUUAAAUGCUUUUAGCUCUGCAGAAACAUUCCGCUUCAGGAAGAUUAACAUUUCCAAGAACUUGCUGGGCUUAUAAAAGCAGCAAACAGCAAACUUACAGCACUGCUCAGAUACAGCACUGACAAUCUUCCAUUUCCUCAGGUAAGAAGAGAUCUAGGUAUACACAGUACAGCUCUCAUUUCAGACUAUGAGAUUUAGACUCAGCACACAUCCAGUGGUGACUGUGCUUCUCUCAUCACUUCGUUCCAGGGCUCUUCACAGAGGCCACCAGUCAGCACAUCAGAUUCACCAUUACACCACUAAGGUCAAAAGCCAAUACAGCGCAUGGAAAACCCUACAGAGGAGUUCUAUUUACCUUACUGUUGUGCUUGUUAUUUAUGAGAUUUCUGAUAAUCUGUAUCAGCAGUGACAGGAGAGAUCGACAUACUCACCUGGCCACUGUCGACAACAUAGAUAAGGAUAUCACCCUUCUCUUCAAGCAGCCUGUGUCUAAGUGCAGCCAAGUCAGAUGUGUCAUAUGUGUAACCUCCAUCUGACUUCAUGAUUGUCAGUGGGACAGAGAAACCCGGGACAAAGACAAUCUUCCGGCCAUCAUCCACCUGGACAAAGCCUAGAAAAGCAAUGGAAUACUGCAUUGUGUCAUAUCUCAUGAGGAGGCUGGGGGACACGACAGGCAGAAACAUCUCCUGUUCCGAUGCUAUCACAAAGUCCAUGCACAUUACCAAACGUUUCAUGUCUCAAAAUGUGAAAAACAAACAAACAAACACCAAGCCCAAAUGAGAACUCCCUUACCAGCCACGUCAGAUUUUGUGUUGUGCUUCCAGAACUCAAGAUUGUGCACAAGAAAGCAGAUCUGUACCACUCUGCCCUUUCCAAAAGAGAAUUAUUUGGAUUUAAAAACUCACAUCACUGGCAUCCAGCUCUACCUUUGCAGCCACAAAAACAGCCUUACAAAGGAAGGCACUAAAAGCAAUGGAAGCUCUACAGAGGUGUGCAAUACAUUUAAGAGAUGAGACGAGUUAGAACAGUACAGAUGGUGAGACUCAAGAAAUGCAAAACUUAAACAGAAACACAUAAAAUUAUAAACUCAUUACAGUCCGUUUUGCUUUUUGUGUGUCUCACAGUCAACGUGAACCAAAAGUGCCACAGCCUUCACAGAGAACAUUUCUCUGAUGCAAGUUCUCCUAUGGUCACAACACUAAGAAGGACACACUGGUGAAGAUAAAAUCAACUCCAGUAGUGCCUCGUGCUAUUUCCCACAACUAUCCCCCACAAACUACUUUUGCUAUCAGCAGGAAAGAUUCAACCUUUCUGGAGUGAUAUAUAUAACAAUCAGUUCUGCUCAUGCUUCUUUGGGAGGAAAUUCCACAAAAGACCCACUCAGAAACUGCUGCUGAGAAAAAGAGCAAGGCACACAGAACAUGCACCUCUCUGAGCAUCACUCCCAAGCCUUGGUGGCUGAGAGUGACGUUACCUCUUGUGCUGAUCUGCAGAAUUUAUGAUUCCAAGACAAAAAGCCUCACCUUUAUCUUCAAAUUCUUUCACGAUAUCUUUCAUCAUAUCUUGGUAGAAUGACUCCCCUCUCUCUGUCAGUGUGACGUCCAGGCAGUUGUAGAUUUUCUGGAACUCUUGAGGAUGAAAACAAAUAAAAAAUACUCUCAUUAAAUCAAAUCACACAGUGGGAAUUUUUGUGGCAUAUAUUUAAUAACAGGCACAGCAAAUCCCUAAAUCUGUUUUCUAUCUCUUGGUCAAGCUGUCAGAGAAGGACUCAGACUAGACCAAGGAGACAAAGGCUGUAAUUGAACACCUCCACAGACAGGCCAGUUCUUUGGCUGCAAAAUCCUUUUUCUCUGAACUUGUUACAGCAAGGUGGCAGUGCCUUCAUUACCAAAACUGGAGGAUGGUGAGAAAAACCACUGUCCAACUGCUGAGCCAUGUCUGUGAAUGUGGCACCCACCUUUCCGCGACACAUCGCAGAUCAGCUCCCAUGCCUUAAUGAAGUCGGGGUCUUUGCUCUGCAGCAGCACCACACAUUGGUAGGCUCGCUUCUUAAAUUCCUCCUCAGUGUCAAAUCUCCUCUUGGAUUCCUAUGGUAGAACACAGUGCAUGAAAGGAAGCACCUGGUUUUUCCCUUGAAAAACAGAGUAGAAUGUCCACAACACAAUCCCAAAGAGUGUGCAUUUCAGAACACAGGUCCUUUAAUCAUUCCCCACAUGGACAACUCAAGACCAGAUACUGUAAUUCAUUCGUUACCCAUUGGUAGGUAAUUGCAAUCAUCUAUUAGCUGAACCUGCUUCUCAGCUGUUGACACAAACAUCACAAUUAUUUGUGACAAAUACCUUGUAAAAAGCUUGGAGAUCCCCAAUGGGAGGAGAAACCGUUAAGUAAUCUGGAAAUCUGUCUUGCAGGUGAGCAAUGAGCAUUCCAAACUGGGUGCCCCAGUCUCCUAAAUGGUUUAACCUUGAAGCAAUUAAAGAGCACAACAAUAAUGAUUUCUCAAAUGUAUGUUUUAAAACGUGAACAUGUUAAAUACAUAUAUUCUAAAUGAAGACACACAUAGUAAGAGAAACCAACGCCAGGCAAGCUCCGCCCCUGCUUCAGGGAAAUGAAGCUGCUGCCCAUUCGGACUCCUAACCUCACUACACUUACUCAGUUUCCUACCUUACUGCACAUCAAGGAUUACUUUUUUAUGUCCUUAUGAAGAAGAUCAAUACUGACCAAAGCACAGAGAGAGUUACUGUAGAAAUGUAGCCAAAGAACCUUAUCCCACCCAAAAAGCAACUCUCACCUCAACACAUCAUAACCUGCAAACUCGAAGAGGCGGCACAUACUUUCUCCAAUGAUGGUGGACCGCAGGUGACCAACAUGCAUCUCCUUUGCAAUGUUGGGGGAGGAGAAAUCCAGUAUCACCUUAGACACGGUACAAAAUGAAAAAAUGAAUAAAGUAGAGGCAACAGCCAUUACCACA